ACAGAGAACCCCGAACAACCCAAACUGUUAAACUUCAAUACCCCUUUGUACUUACGAUCUUGUAUCCACUGACUGUCAUGUUAGAUUAAUCCAAUAAAUUUCAUUCACUCCGCAUACUCAAUCCUAUAGACACCCUUUUAAUCCUUCAAUCACAGACGUAACUCGAUUUUAUAAAACAGUCAAGAGUAUUCAAACCCACUUCAUUUAAAAAUCCCUAUUCACCAUUACAACACUGA
rnacentral:lncRNA from 1 species